rnacentral:piRNA from 1 species
UCUCAGAGCUGUGUGGUUGCUGGUUGCC